UACGAGUUUACUAGCGUGCUCACAUUGCGCAUGCGUAGCUCUGCGCGACACUGUCACGGAAGCGGGAAACUCGUCGUCCGCCGCUCGUCGACAACGAGAUUUUGACCAGAAGUCGUCCUCUAGAGAACGAAUUUCGAAAGCGAUAGCGAAACGAGAACUUUUUAUUUGGAAAGGAAACACGAAACUAUGCUUCUCAGAGAAGUACUGGUUGAAGAGCCUCACAAGUACUGACCAGAUUCAAAAGAGAGAGGUAUAUCUUGGACGAAAAUCGCCGAACACUAUAAUAAAACCUUGAACACUGAAACAUUUUAUUAGCUUCUCAUUAAUUAUUGUCAUAUUAAUACCAUUAUAUUUAUGAAAUGAAAACUAAGGAAGAGUUUGUAUGGUAAAAUAUCUGAAUACAUUAUUUUUACAUCUUUUUUAGUUGUAUCAUAUAAAUGUACUGUAUUAUUAUUACAAAGUCAGUUCAGCUGUUUUGAAAUUAAAAAUUAUACAUAUUUACAAUUUUGA